AAUAAAAAAAAAAUUAUUACGAACCGAUAUAAAUUGUUAUGUGGUUUCUAAACUUGCGCUGACGGUAUGCGUAUCUUGAUUGCAAACAACUCUGAAUUGCUAUUAUGGACUGACAGCAUGAAUUAAUUAUUAUGUAAUUUCUAACAUCUUGUUGAUGUCAUAUCAUAUUCCAUACAAUUUUGCUAGUCUUUUUUUUUUUAAUAGCCAAUUCUGCCUGCCAUUAUCUAGAACACUUAACAAUAUCAAAUAUAAGUGCUAAA
rnacentral:lncRNA from 1 species